GUAGGUGGCAAGCGUUGUCCGGAAUUAUUGGGCGUAAAGCGCGCGCAGGCGGUUCUUUAAGUCUGAUGUGAAAGCCCACGGCUCAACCGUGGAGGGUCAUUGGAAACUGGAGAACUUGAGUACAGAAGAGGAAAGCGGAAUUCCACGUGUAGCGGUGAAAUGCGUAGAGAUGUGGAGGAACACCAGUGGCGAAGGCGGCUUUCUGGUCUGUAACUGCGCUGAGGCGCGAAAGCGUGGGGAGCAAACAGGGAUUAGAUACCCUGGUAGUCCACGCCGUAAACGAUGAGUGCUAAGUGUUAGGGGGUUUCCGCCCCCUUAGUGCUGCAGCUAACGCAUUAAGCACUCCGCCUGGGGAUACGGCCGCAAGGCUG
rnacentral:rRNA from 1 species